rnacentral:rRNA from 1 species
CAGUAGCCGCGGUAAUACGGAGGGUGCAAGCGUUAUCCGGAUUCACUGGGUUUAAAGGGUGCGUAGGCGGAUUCUUAAGUCCGUGGUGAAAUCUCCAAGCUUAACUCGGAAACUGCCAUGGAUACUAUUAGUCUUGAAUGUUGUGGAGGUUAGCGGAAUAUGUCAUGUAGCGGUGAAAUGCAUAGAUAUGACAUAGAGCACCAAUUGCGAAGGCAGCUGGCUACACAAAUAUUGACGCUGAGGCACGAAAGCGUGGGGAUCAAACAGGAUUAGAGACCCCGGUAGUCCCUGUCUCUUAUAC